rnacentral:lncRNA from 1 species
AUGUCUGUUUUUACAUUGUUUUGCAGGGUUUUAAGGUGAAUUGAAGAUGGAAAUAAAGAAAGGUGGACUUAGACCCAUGAAAGAGGAAGAAAAAGGAUGAAAAGAAGGGUCAAGUGAACCGCUGAGCGCCAGAAUGGACCGCUGAACCUCCAGAGCGAUUAGAGGGAAACCGCUGAGCGGCAAAACUGACCGCUGAGCGGUCCAAGCGGCUAGAGGGAAACUGCUGAGCGGUUUACUUAGGUGCCUGGGCGGUUGUCUGUUUUUAUUACCUAGAUUAUGUAAUCUUUCUGUUAUCUUUUUGGGCUUAUAUAUAGCCCCAGUGCUAAUCAAAACACAUUCUUUUG